GCCUCAUUAGCUCAGGGGAUAGAGCACAGCUCUCCUAAAGCUGGUGUCGCAGGUUCGAAUCCUGCAUGGGGCA
rnacentral:tRNA from 1 species